CGAAGAAUGUAUUUGAACUUCAUGAAAUCCUGCAGGUGUGUAUGGAGUUCGGUCCUCAGGGCAUCUACGGUGUUUGUCCGGGACCACAGCACGCCUUCCUACGCAGUCCAUCCAUGUGGACAACCAACGAAGCUGUUCAGCACAGGGCCGACUAAUUAACGUCCGUUGGAGUUCCCUGUUCGAACAGCAGGUGGCUUCUGAGUCGUGGCGUACCCAUUCUGGACCCUGGACUUCAAGCGACGGUUUGGAGACGCCGGGGCCAUACGGGAGCC
rnacentral:lncRNA from 1 species